UACGUAGGGCGCAAGCGUUAUCCGGAAUUAUUGGGCGUAAAGAGCUCGUAGGCGGUUUGUCGCGUCUGCUGUGAAAGACCGGGGCUCAACUCCGGUUCUGCAGUGGGUACGGGCAGACUAGAGUGCAGUAGGGGAGACUGGAAUUCCUGGUGUAGCGGUGAAAUGCGCAGAUAUCAGGAGGAACACCGAUGGCGAAGGCAGGUCUCUGGGCAAUUCCUGACGCUGAGGCGCGAAAGCGUGGGGAGCAAACGGG
rnacentral:rRNA from 1 species